UUGGGAGAAAGUCCAGAACCUUCUCCAAGAUGCUUGUGGUCCUGCUCACAGCCGCCUUGCUGGCCCUGAGCUCAGCUCAGAGCGCAGAUGAAGAUGGCCAGAGUACAUCUGAUGUCCAAGAACAAGCUCCUGUGAAUCAAACCCAGGUCUCAGGUUCAGAUCCUUCUUCUGCUGAGGUAAAUACAGUGAAUGUCCAAGAGCCUGAAUCAGCAUCAGCAGGAAAUGAGUCUUCUGCCAACUCUGGGAGUGAACAGGAACAGCAACAGCAAGCUCAGGAAUCUCAAGAAGCAGAGAGUCAGAGGCCUUCUGACUCUGCUGUGAAAGAAUAGGAAAGUCAAUCUGGAGAAGAAAGGAGAAAAGAGGUUCAAGGGCAACAUAACUUUCAUCCUGAAAAGCCAGGAGUAGUACAUAUGAAAGUAAAACGUAACAAUCCUAAUUCUCAUAAAAGAUUUAACCAUAAUCUACCCAAUAAAAGAAAAUUCGAAUCCCCUGACAAAGGCAACCAGAGACGAAGAAGUAUGGCUUAGUAAGCAAUCAGCAGCAAAUAAACUAGAGAGUACCUGAUUAAAAUAUGUCCUUCAAAUGAUUAGAUCAACGAAUCAAUGUUGAUUGUCUAUACUAUUCCAAUAAAAUUUUCAGCAUGCAAU